AGUGAACGCUGGCGGUAGGCCUAACACAUGCAAGUCGAACGGCAGCACAGUAAGAGCUUGCUCUUACGGGUGGCGAGUGGCGGACGGGUGAGGAAUACAUCGGAAUCUACUUUUUCGUGGGGGAUAACGUAGGGAAACUUACGCUAAUACCGCAUACGACCUACGGGUGAAAGCAGGGGAUCUUCGGACCUUGCGCGAUUGAAUGAGCCGAUGUCGGAUUAGCUAGUUGGCGGGGUAAAGGCCCACCAAGGCGACGAUCCGUAGCUGGUCUGAGAGGAUGAUCAGCCACACUGGAACUGAGACACGGUCCAGACUCCUACGGGAGGGAGCAGUGGGGAAUAGUGGACAAUGGGCGCAAGCCUGAUCCAGCCAUACCGCGUGGGUGAAGAAGGCCUUCGGGUUGUAAAGCCCUUUUGUUGGGAAAGAAAAGCAGCAGGUUAAUACCACGCUGUUCUGACGGUACCCAAAGAAUAAGCACCGGCUAACUUCGUG
rnacentral:rRNA from 1 species